UACGUAGGGUGCGAGCGUUAAUCGGAAUUACUGGGCGUAAAGCGUGCGCAGGCGGCGCGUUAAGCCAGAUGUGAAAGCCCCGGGCUCAACCUGGGAAUGGCAUUUGGGACUGCAAGGCUGGAGUUUGGCAGAGGAGACUGGAAUUCCUGGUGUAGCAGUGAAAUGCGUAGAUAUCAGGAGGAAUACCGAUGGCGAAGGCAGGUCUCUGGGCUAUAACUGACGCUCAUGCACGAAAGCGUGGGGAGCAAACAGG
rnacentral:rRNA from 1 species